GAUCCUGGCUCAGGAUGAACGCUGGCGGCGUGCUUAACACUUGCAAGUCGAACGAAGCACUUAAGAUUGAUUCUUCGGAUGACGUCUUUUGUGACUUAGUGGCGGACGGGUGAGUAACGCGUGGGUAACCUGCCUCACACAGGGGGAUAACAGUUAGAAAUGACUGCUAAUACCGCAUAACCCGAUAGGAUCGCAUGAUCCAGACGGAAAAGAUUUAUCGGUGUGAGAUGGACCCGCGU
rnacentral:rRNA from 1 species